rnacentral:rRNA from 1 species
UGUGUAGGCGGCCGCGCAAGUCGGAUGUGAAAUCCCCGGGCUCAACCCGGGAAGUGCACCCGAAACUGCGUGGCUCGAGUACCGGAGAGGUUGGUGGAAUUCUCGGUGUAGAGGUGAAAUUCGUAGAUAUCGAGAGGAACACCGGUGGCGAAGGCGGCCAACUGGACGAGUACUGACGCUGAGACACGAAAGCGUGGGGAGCAAACAGGAUUAGAUACCCUGGUAGUCCACGCCGUAAACGAUGGGUGCUAGGUGUCACGGGCUUUGACUCCUGUGGUGCCGUAGCCAACGCAUUAAGCACCCCGCCUGGGAAGUACGGCCGCAAGGCUAAA